UUGGAGGCUUCAUCCUCCCUGGUACCCGGUCCCCAUCCAUCUCCUCUUCUUCCCCUGACACUUGUCUGUAUGCGAGGAGAGAGGAGGGAGGCUGGGAGCGACUUGCACGCUGGAGGAGCUACGAGGAGGUUCAGUCAAAAUGGACUCCACCAAUGGACAAGUCAAAGGGGGGCCUACAAAUAAAGUUGCGAAUUCUAGACCCAUUGCGACCAGAAACGUGAAAACUGCAAGUCCAUCUCAGUCUCCUAAAACAGCUACAGAUAGCCCCCGACCAGCGAGCGCUAGAAUUGCAGGGCCACCUUCCAAAUCUGCCAGUGCCAAAG